UUAUUUUGUUUUGACCUGCAAAUAAGAUUCAGGCCAGCCUGUGUAUAAUUAGUUGCCCUGGGUUAUCUUAUUGGUCCAAAUUUGCCCUAUUUUAGUAAAGUAGUCUCAGUGGGGAUGAUUUACUACCAUAGUGAUCAGUUUCACCAGUGCACCUACAUUUAGCAUAACUUGUAGUUGACUUAUCAAAUUUGUAGUCAGUGUGUAGUUAGUUGCUCUUUGCUAGUAUAGAGUAACAUCACUGGUGCAAUUUAGAACCUAUGUUAGUAAAUAAGCCUUUUUUGUUCUCUAUGGUGCUGAUAAGCAUAUACAAUUUUAUAUAAUACAAUAUGCGCUUUAUUUAUGAACAGCUGUGCCCUUAAAAGGCCACAGACAAAUCUCUGUGAAAUACAACUUUGCGGUAUUAUUUAGGUAUUUUGUGAAGCAUUGGCCAGCAAUCCUUGAAAUUGCUGUUAACUUUAUGGUUUUGUUUAAGGUAGUACUAGUUAAUCAAAGAAAAAAAGGAAAAACGGGUUGAUAAGGAAUAAUGACAAUAAAUGUUGCUAAAAAUGUUUAUAUCAUGUAAUAUAAUUGCAGUUUUUUAUAACACAAUAAAUUUUGUACUUAAAUUGUU